rnacentral:ncRNA from 2 species
CUAAUGAUCAUCCCUGACGGUGCCUCUGCAAUGAGGUGAAAAGGGAACGCGGUGUGAUACCGCGGCUGCCCCCGCAACUGUAAGCGGCGAGUUUCGCGCCAUCGGCCACUGGGAUUGUCCCGGGAAGGCGGCGAGAGAUCCGGACCCGCGAGCCAGGAGACCUGCCGUCAGCGAGUGAUGCAA